CUAGGCCAGAGUAUGUCAUAUACUCUGACAGCGAAUUGGAACAGUCAAGAAGCACCUUUUUUGAGAAACUGAGUCAGACAAGAAGGAGAUUACAUCCUUCCCAAAGACCUUUUAAUUUCAACUAAUCAGAAACACAAUAACAAGCAUGGUCUCCAUGAAGACAACAAUUGGUGAUGGCUUCCAGUGUCUUAGUAGUCGUGAAAUCACCUAAGCAUCUGGUGGAGUGCUAUCCAAUGCCAUGUGACAGAUCUCAGACUGGUAAAGAUGACUGGGAAUCCAUCAGUAAGCAGCUCCAGAAGAGAAUCCAUAAUGCGAGCACCCCAAAAAAGAAGCAGGGGCUGACACCCUCAAGAAAGAGGCCAGGACAAGGCAGGGGAUGGACAGGGGCUAUCCACUGAUGACACUGACGAGUCCACUUCCUCAACUGUGAUCUUGGACCCAUCACCACGAUCCAGAUCCAGCACACGAGAGUGAACAAUUGGACACUCACAGGAGACCCUAGCAAAUGUCAGCAAACGCCCCCCUCAACUCUGGCCCCGUUCUACUGUUUGACCAAGAGAAAUACACGUUCAUCAUUACGACAACGCCAGUGACGUCCUUCCUUAAGGUGGCGCUCUAUGAAAGUCUGCUGUACCUCAUGGCACAUCAUGCAUUACACCUCAUAUAUCCAGCGUGCAUUGCCACACUCCUGUCUGUCUUGCAGACUGAAGUGCUCGGUGAUGCCAUACACGAG